CCUACGGGAGACUGCAGUGAGGAAUAUUGGACAAUGGACGAGAGUCUGAACCAGCCAAGUAGCGUGAAGGAUGAAUGCCCUAUGGGUUGUAAACUUCUUUUAUAAAGGAAUAAAACGAGGCACGUGUGCCUUUUUGCAUGUACUUUAUGAAUAAGGAUCGGCUAACUCCGCGCCAGCAGCCGCGGUAAUACGGAGGGUCCGAGCGUUAUCCGGAUUUAUUGGGUUUAAAGGGAGCGUAGAUGGGUUGUUAAGUCAGUUGUGAAAGUUUGCGGCUCAACCGUAAAAUUGCAAUUGAUACUGGCAGUCGUGAGUACAGUUGAGGUAGGCAGAAUUCGUGGUGUAGCGGUGAAAUGCUUAGAUAUCACGAAGAACCCCGAUUGCGAAGGCAGCUUACUAAACUGUGACUGACAUUGAUGCGCGAAAGUGUGGGUAUCAAACAGGAUUAGAUACCCUGGUAGUC
rnacentral:rRNA from 1 species